rnacentral:lncRNA from 1 species
AGGGUUGCAAACCAUAAUCACCAGAGCACAGACACCUGGGGCCCUCUAGAGCCUGGAAUCAGCAUUUCUGCAGAUACAUGGUUUAGAAGGUAUUCUAAUAAACCUGGUUAGAACUCUGCCCAGGGACCAAGUCCAGUUGGGUCAAUGGCUCCCUAUCUGGCCAGUGGUAACCUGGCUUUGUUGAAUUGCAUUUCUUCCUUCUGUUUUUCUAGAAUCCUGACCAUAGAACCACAGCUGUGUGCUCACAGGAAAUUUAAGUAUUUUAAAAGCGCAGAGUUGUGGUGCAUUUGGAGGUUUUCGGGUCGGGCCAUAACCAGACUUCCCAGUCCUAAAUAAAUGCGUCCACUGCUUCUGGCUCCAUCACUUAAUUUCUGCACGUUGGCUGAUUUCCGGAGCUUAACUCCCUGACAGUCAGGAGGAAGGAGGCCAAAGGAAACCUUUUAAUUUAUAGUAAGCAGAAAUCAGUUUUAUGUGGGUUUUUUUUUUUUAGCUCAUUUAAAAUGCCAAGGCUCACUUGAAACAAUAAACUCUUGUAUAGUUUUCCCUUAUAAGAAAUUUCCCAGGUUAUUUACCAAAAUCCUAGAAAAAUACAUUGUUGUUAAUAUACCACAAUUCCCAUGAGAAAGAAAUAUUUACAAAAUUUGCUUUGGGCAGUGAUGCUACGAGAAUAUUAAAAAGUAUUGACUUUAUCACCAAGCGAAUCCUUUCUCAAUUUUUUUUUAUUAACAUCACAACAGGUUUGAAAAGCUAGAGCAGUAGGAGAAAACACCUUUGUUUUAAACAAGAACUACCUUUCUCAGCAAGAAUAGAAUUAGUAGCGUGGAAAAUCAGGUUCAUUUCAGUUUCACUAACAAUAUCUGAAAUGAAAUAACGUUACAAAUCUCCCCUCCAACCUUGUAGUUAGACACCUCGAGUAUUUAUUUAUUUCCCCUCCAGAGAAAAUAAGGGUGGAUGUUACCUUUAAACUACAUACCCAUUUAAUUAAUGCAUGCAAGGAAAAUGAUUCUGGCUGCAUUUAAAUUAAGGCCCGAGCCUGUAGAAUUUAAGGGAUCUGACCUUAAAAAUGAAGAAAAUAUUAUUGUAAUUACUCCAUUUGCUAAAAACAAAUGAUGUGGCAUUUGAAUUUAAGACUUCUAUCAAAAGCAGCUGAGGGUCUAAUCAGUUCACACCUUUCCAUUUUAAUGGAGUUGGGGUUGAGCCAUUGCAUUUACAAUUAUCCAGGCUGACUUCAUCCCUUUGAAAUGACUUAAAAAGAUUAGCAUUCAUGGAUUAUUUAUUAGCUCCUCGUGAAUGUAUUUCCAAGAAUGGAAACAACAUAUUGCAUCAAAGUCUAGUUCCCAAGUUUAACUCUUUUAAUUAACAGCACGGCUACACGGUGUUGUAAAAGGCGUCUGAAGUCACAGGACAUUUUGUCAGGCUUUUUGCUCCACGUGUGUCUUUAGGAGCAGUCUUUGUUCCUCGCAAGCUCGGAGAGAAGGCCAAUCCCAGUCCUGGCGGCCGUCCGUGAUGCCCUGUAAACACCGCCGUGCAGAAAGCAGGCUGCUUGGAGAGGCAGCAGCUCGGGGCCUGCCGUAGCUAUCGCUGAUAGGGAGUGCCUGUCUCGGGCUCAGCAGAGAACUCGGUGACACGGUGGCACUGGCAGUUUAACCCAAACACACUUUCUGCCUAGAUAACGAAAAUGUCACCCACGAGUCCCUGACAGCAAUCCCAAAGGAGCGCCAGGUUUGAGGCGGUGCUGGCCGCACGCGGCCUAUCUGCCAUCUGAAGGCCUUCAUCGUCUGCUUGGCUGAGGGGCUCACCUCCGCGUGGGCAGAAAACAGUCCACACACGCUGUGCCAGACCUCCUCCGCAGUCAGGCUCGGGACAGCAAACCCUGCAGGCCAAGCCAGGCCCUCUAGUUAAAGCUGACAAAUGUAUUGGAGGCGGGCUUUCUGAGGGUACUAAGGUUCUUCAAAGAGAAAGCGGAAUGAGAGAAAAAUCAACAACUGUUCUGGAGGGCUGGAUCCUACAAGAAUCUCCCCUGGAAAAGCAGGGGAGAUGAAAGCAACGAAAGAGGGACAGUCAUGGCAAGCCUGGGAUUUGUCUGAGGAAAUCCUGAUUCUUGGUGGCGGUUUGACCUGCGUAUGCCUUACAUGUAGGGGCUGUGACUGAAUGUAUUUUGCUAUGUUUUUUUUUUCUUUAACCUAAUGAUAGAACUGAUAGAUAUAACCUUGUGCUGUCCUUCUAGAAAAUCUGAUAUUGCAAAAUUUACAAACUGUACAAAUGGUGGCUGGUUCCUUGCUUUGCAAAUCUUGUUUUAAAGAAUCCUUCUGGAAAGUUCCAUUGGUACGGUGACACCCCUGUGACCGCCAAACUAUAAUUUGACUUAUGAAAAGUUUAUUUACGCGAAGAGGCAUCUCUAACAUACAAAAUAGGACCCAUCUGUAACUUUUCCCCUGGAGACCACAUUGGAGACAUCCAAUAGAGCAGCACCAUUAUAUAAUAUAUGUAUCCUGUCUUGGUGAAAAAACAUCUGAGAACAAUGUUAAAGCAAAUUUAAAUUUAAAUGAAAAUUUGCCUUUACUGAGAUAAAAAUAGAUCCACAGAAUUUAAAAUACAGAACUGAGAUAACAGGGUCACAAAAAUUAUAAUUCUUAUUAUAAUUAUAAUUUUUACUUAUUAAGUGCAAGGAAUAAAAAUCGGAAUGACCACAAAGAAGUCUUGAGGAUAAGAAUCGCUAUUUGGGAGAAAAUAAGAACCAACCUAGAACUCAUGAGAAAAAUGUCCUAGCUGGCUUGAUUUGUUUAUUUGCUCAUGGAGAGUUCAGCAAUCUGUCAUGCAUUCAUUCACUUCAUCACACAUUCAUUCAUUUAUUCAUUGUCAUUCAUUCAUUCAUUCAUUCCCUUCCAGGGUUCACUGUGAGUAGACACUGUGUCUGGGAAUACACAAACGUAGAAAGUAUGGGCUCUGCCCUCAAAGCGCUUCUACUCUAAUGAGAGAGAGAAAACAGGUCCACAUAGAGCUAUUCUACAAAGCAGGAUAUGACAAAUGCACAAGGCAUGUGUCCUGAGGCGUGGCAUCCUACUGGGAGGUAUUACUUGAGCUGACUUUGGGCAGUAGGGAGUGAGUGGCGACAAGGAAAAUCCCAAGGACGCUUUGAUAGAGAAAGUCCAGUGAAUCCUGUGAAAGGAUCUGUAUCUAUGAGUGUGGAACAAGAGAGAAGGGAGGGCUUCUGUGUCUGCCUGCCUUGCCGAGUGAGAAAAUGACUCAACUCUCCUCCCAGUUUCUGCUGACUCUCCGUCCUUGGGCAAGACAUCUAUGGGCUUUGGGCUAUUUUCAUAAAAUGUAGUUACUCUGACAAGUUGCGUUCUGGACAGGAUUUCAAUAUAUAUCGUUAUAGAGAAAAAUGAUAAAUGUAGAAAUAUCAGAAAAAAAAUUAGAAAAUAUCACCUGUAAUUCUGAUACUAUUAAUAUUGUGCAAGGUGUUCCUCUAGGCUUCUGUUUAUCUAUCUCUGUGUAUUUUUUUUUAUUGUGGUAAAAACCAUAUAACAUUGCAUUUAUCAUCUUAACCACCUUCAGGUGUGCAGUUCGUAUAUGCACAUCAGCAGAUCUGUAGAACUUUCUCAUCUUACAAAGCUGAAACUCUACGCCCACGGAACUCUAAUUUCCACUUGCCCUUCCUUGCCUCCCCCUAGCCCUUUGUACUUUCUGCUUCUCUGAUUUUUUACUACUCUGGAUACUUCACAUGAAUGGAAUCACACAGCCUUUGUCCUUCUGCAUCUGGCUUCUCUUGCCUAGCAUGUUUUCAAGGUUCAUCCGUGUUUUAGUAUGUGACAAGAGUUCCUUCCUUUUUUAAGGCUGCACAGUAUUUCGCUAGACGUGUAUGCUACAUUUUCUGUAUUCAUCAGUCGGUGGGUAUCUGGGUUGCUUCCAGCUCUGGCCUAUUGUGAAUAAUGUCUGGAACAAGGAUGUACAAAUCUCUCUUCGAGAUCCUGCUUUCAGUUCUUUUGGGUAUACACCUAGAAGUGGGAUGGUUGGAUAAUACGGUAGUUUUAUUUUCAAUGUUUUGAGGAACCGCCAUACUGUUUUCCCUAGCGGCUGCACCACUUUGCAUUCCCACCAACAGAGCUCGAGUGUUCUAAUUUCUCCACAUCCUUGCCAACGCUUAGUUUCUGUUCUUUUGAUAGCGGCCAUCUUAAUGAGUGUGAGGUGAUAUCUCAUGGUGGCUUGGGUUUGCUUUUCUCUAACCUAGAAUGAUUCCUAUAGUGGAAGAGGAAGUAACUUUGGCAGGGAGAACCAGGCUUUGGAGCCAAAAUUUGGGAUUGGAGUCCUUGCCAUAGCUUUGAUGUUGGCUCAUGUUCAACACAGCCUCACCACCAUCUCACUUCUCUCGGCCAUACAAUCGAAGACUAAUAACCACCCUACCUCUCUUUUCCAUGUUACCACUAAGGAGCUUUGAGUUCAUCUUUAAGGAUAACAAAGCUAUGAACUUUGUUCCAAAGAGCCAUUCAUGUGUAAACACAAGGUACUAUGGGCAACUUGUCAAGAUCUCCUUAAGGUCUCCAGAACAAGGCAGGACCCUGAAGUGUCAUCAUAGUAAACAUUAUCAGCGAUUCACGCCAAAUCCUACGGUGACAUCGAUCUUAAAAUCUAAACUACACUGAACCGAGCACUUAUCACUUUACACUGUGAGUCCGACCAUAUGUCUCUGCUAUUCCCCCUUCAACGACUGGAAACAAAUUCAGAGUUUUGAGUUUCAACUGUUUCCUUCUUGAAGCUGCUAAGACAAUAACGGAUUAAAUAAGAUGAACCAAGCAGCCAUACUUCUUGUAAAGUUAUCCCCAGAGAUAAAUGUACAAUGUUGUUUCGGAGGCUGUGGUGGUGUCUGCAGUGUAACUAAGGUUGACAGACUGCCUGCAUGUGGGUGGCUGUCUCCUUUCCAGCUGUGACCAACUGAAUUAUAUCACCUGUCCCGUUUGAUGUAUUAGGAUAUGCCCAAGCUCAAGAUGCAUGUUGCUGCAAUAGGGAAAUUAAUGUCCACCACUGGAGGCAAUUAAUAAUGAUUAGGAGCAAAACAGCGGGGUUAAAUCUGUGCAUUUAACAGAGUGUUCAUACACUUUUAUACUAUAUUUCAGUCUUGUUGCUCAAAGGGGGAAAAAAAAGCCCUUUUGGGGGACUAGAACAAUCUUAUCUUAAUUAACAUGUAAACCUAUAUGAAAUGUCAAAGUCGCUUCAAUGAGACAUGUUUAUUCAUUAUUUACUUAAUCCUUGCUUCCUGGGGUUAGAAAAAAAAAUACUGCACAAACAGUAGUAGACUAAGGAGAGAAAUGUUCAGACUCACUUGAGUACUUAGUUGAACUCCCGGACUUUGUGAACAGCUGCAUUUGACUCAUUGAUUGGGGUGAGGAAUUCUCACCUCUUUUAUUUUAUGAUCCCGCAGUUAAUAUACUUAAAAAAAAAAGGCAGCAAAUUGGCACACCAUAGAUUUGCAAUGGUUGGUUUAGUGCAACUCUAUAAAAUCUGCAUGUAAAAUACUUAGCGGUGGGUAACGGUAACUGAUUUCCUUUUGGUGACUAACGCGUGGAUAUAAAUUUCAAUAUUAGAAAUUUAAACUGAACAAGGGAUUUUGCCUGAAAAAAUGCAGAAAACAUUGAAAGCAAGUUAGGUAUAAAUCUAUAAGACAGAGGAGCCUAAACAGUAUUGAUGUAUUUGAACACGCAUGCACCUCUGACUAGGCAUUUAUGUCACCAUGUAUUAGUGGAAAGCAUACACAACACAAAUAUUCAUUGAUCAGAUAUUUUAUUAGGAAAUUUCAUUAAAUAGAUUAAAAUGUAAUUGGCCACCAGCUGGACUUUAUAGCUCCAAGAAGAUUAUAUAUUUAAGUGAUACUGCAAUUCUUAUUAAUUAAAAACUGUGAGAUAGAGGUCUUAGAAAACUUUAAAGCCCUAUUUUAUUUUAAUGGAAUCUACAAGUAGAGACUCCGAAAUGAUUCCUUUGUCGUGAACUCGCAAUGGUGACAUUGGUGUCAUUGAAGUUCUGUCUGCAACCUGAGCUCAUGAGGCAGUCCAAGUCUCAUGGGGAUGGCUCCUCCUUGAAUUCUUCCUUCAGUUGUGUCCCCAAGAGUAUGUCAGCCUGCAUGAUCUCAAAAGAGACUCAAUUAAAAUGAAAAAAUUCACUCAGUCAUCAGUCUUUUGGCUAACUUAACCCAGAUAUCCAGAUAGUGGAUGUAACUAAAUAUUUGACUGAAUUUUAACAGCAGAUGCAAAUACGUGGCACCAUUUUUUUCCGGGUGGACAUUUAACAUCCUGUGAUUCAAUGUCUACCCAGUAGUUUAGUUUCAACUAUUCACUUAUUUGUUUAUUAAAUAGCCUUCGUGUCCUUACUGCUGUUACUUGUCUAUUUGCCUCAAAAUCUCACCAGGGCUGAGCAUGGCUAAGUUUCAAGACCGGAUAAGCCCGCUCAUUUUUUCGACGAGCUGCAUCACUUUGACUACAUUAUUUUUUUAUUACUUUUAGGAAUUUGUUCAUUCAUCGGGUAUUUUUUGAGUACUAGCUGUAUGUAAAGCACUCUGCUGGACGAUCAAUCACAGACAUAGCAAACAAAACCACAAGGAGACCUCUCUCAAACUUACCAGCAUUGGCUAAGUGUGGACUUUGUGCUGAGCAUUCUCCAUUCAUGGAGAGUAAAACGAUAGGGUAGGCAUUAUUCCUAUUUACAUUUGGACAUUGAGCCUUGGGGAGAUGACUCUGACCUGUCCAAGGUCACACGGUGGUGAUAACAGAGUUGGGAUUCCAACCUUGGCCUUCUGUUCUCAGGGUCCUGGGGUCUUGCCUUCACACAACAGCAGUCUCUUAAGGAACCAGCUGACCCAAUAGUAGAUCAAGGGGUUAUGUUCAUGCAGCUCUUCUCUGCCAAAGAUCAGUUUCUCAGUCAGUAAUUCCUGGAAAGUCACAAAUUAAUUGAGUCUGCCCCAAUUGUCAGAUAAUGCUGGUGUUUAAGGUGCAGCUGCCCCACCGUGUCACCACAAGUAGAAGACAGUGCUUGACCUCCACAGUGGCCCUAGCCUCUCCCCUUAACCCACUGCUCUCACUUCUCAGCUUCCCAUUGGAUCCUCAGCUUCCCCAACAGUCAUGGCCUCUUCGCUGUUGGCAACAGGUUGGGCAAUUCUUUUACAGCUUGAGGAACUUGAGCUGUCCACUCGGCUCACUGUUCUGCCCUCUUCCCUAGUUCUGGUGCCUCCUGGAGGCAUGGAUGACAGUCAUCACACACCAGCCUGGCUCUAGCGAGGCCACCUGAUGUGGCAGCUUCCUGCCCCUCUGCCCUUCCCCACCUUGCCAAAGAGGAAGGAAUGGGUAACCCAAGAAGAGAAAUGCACUAGUUCUUACACUUGGGAUGCAUCACAAUCUUCUGGGGACCUACUAAAAACAUAGGUAACCGAACUCUUCUCCGAGCCUCCGAAAUCUGUACAAGUGUGUUUUAGCACAUUUCCCAGGUGAUGAAGAUGUAUACCAAAACAAAAUGAGAUCCUAGAUGAAUGUGCAUAGCACAGAGCCUGGCUACCUUAGAGUUGCCACUCAGUGGUAUAUUAUCUAUUGCUCCAUGACAAAUUACUUCAAAACCUGGCAGCUGGAACAAGAAACAUUUAUUACCUCACACUUCCUGUGUGUCAGAAAGCCAAGAGUGGCCUAGUUGUAUGCCUUUACCUCAAGGUCUCUCAUGAGGUGCCCUCAAGGACUACGGUUGGCCAAAGAAUUUCAAGACUCAACUUGUGCGAAAGGCUUUGCUUCCAAGCUCGUUCAUGGUUGUCAGCUGGCCCCAGAUCCUUGCAGGCUAUUGCACAGAAGGCACCACAACAUCAUGUGGAUCUCUCCAUAGGGCCAACCACAAUAUGGCAGCUUACUUUCACCAGAGUAUUGAAAAAGAGAGAGAACUCAAGACAGAAGUCAUAGUCUUCCUAAUAUUCAGAGUAACAUCUUAUCAAUGCUGUCAUAUUCCAGUUUUUGGAAGAGAGUCCGUACUUAAGGUAGUACACAAAGCCAUGAAUGCUAGAAGGCAGUGGUUACUGGGGGCCAUCUUAAAGCCUACCCACCAAAGGUGGCCAGUUUCUCUUCAGUUUGGGGAGUUAGAGCCAGUCAGUGGGACUCACCAGUGGAAAUAUUUUUUAGAGUUAUUGGAGAGGAGAAGACGUCAACCAGUAAUCUGGAGUACUGGUAUCAGUUACAUCCUAUAUACAUUCGUUACAGUGGCCUUGGCAUCAUCAGUUCAUCCAUCCAUCCAUCCAUCCAUCAAAUAAUCACUUAUUGUUCAUGGUCUUUUGUGCUAGGUACUGCUCUGGACACUGGUAGCACAACAGUGAAAAACUUAGGUAAAGAGCCCACUUUCAGUGGAUUCAACAGUUUACUUGAAGGUGUAAACAAGGAAACAGGCAACCACAUGAGGAGACAGAAGCUCUGACACACCCUGCUAGAGUGUGAUGGCAGUCCACUGUAGAGGCUGUCUGCUCAAGUUCAUGAGCUGGUCAGGGAAGACUUCCAGGAGGAGGUGACACUUAGGCUGAGACACGAGAACAAGAAAAGUUUUGUCAAGUGGAGAGCAGUCUAUGCAGGAAUGAGAGCAAUGAGAGAAGCAUGAAUUUUUCCAGAUUUCAGGUGGAGGUCAGAGUAAGUCUUCCUCAAGUGAGGUAAGUGAAGGUAAGGAUAGGCCCCUAGGGUAAUAACAUUUCCAAAAGUAUAAUGGAACUUGAAUAAGGCAAACAGGCCAAAAAAGAAGCUUAUUUUUCAUCUCCUUAGUCUCUUAACUAGAAAGUUUACUCAAUUUCCAUUGAGUGUGAUCAUUAAUAUAUUUUAAUUCAACAUACUAUUUUUAUCUUAUUUUGUGAUCCUGGUAGAAUUUCAUAAGGAUAAUUUGGGUUAUCAUGUGCUAAUCAAAAGUUCUUAUCAGCAAUUUCAUGUCUUUGAUUAAUAAAAGUGGGAAUGAGAAUUAAUUAAUUAACGCAGUUUGCUUUUCCUCAAUUCCUUUAACUAUUUUAUAUUUUAUUUUAUCUUACCAUAAGGCUCUGCUUCUGUAAGUGGUCUUAAAACCUCAGUGAUCUGGGGCAGGAUAUAAAUAAACACAUACAUAAAAUUCUUACUACAUAUAUUAAUAAUCACACUUGGGGGAAAUGGACUAAACUUUCUAGUUAAGAGACUAAGGCCAUCAAAUCAGGGUUGAAUUAAAAGAGAACAUACAACAGCAUCAAAAAAAAAAAACAACCAAAAACCAAAACCACAAGUUGUGUUUAUAAUUAAUUUCCAUAAAAUAUAAGAAAAUGGAAACUUGAAAACAAAAGAGAGAAAAAAAUAUGAUAGGUAUAUCAUUGUGAGAUGGGUUUGACUGCAAGUAACAGAAAACUCCAAAUGACAGUGGCUUAAACAAGACAGAAAUUUAUUUUUUCUGUGUCUGUGGCACUCCCUCCUGUCAGAAACUUAAGACUUUUUUGAUCCCAUGGUUCCAUAUUGGGCUGAUUUAAGCAGUAGGUCCAAGAUGAUAGUAUCUGCAUUCCAAGACGGAGGAUGAAGGAAGGAUGGAGAAGAAGACAUGGAAUAUCUUGUGUUACAUCUUAAGGUAGAUUCUUGGAAGCUGCCAAACAACCCAUUUGCUUUUAUCUCAUUGACCAGAUCUUAGUCAUAUGGCCACACCUAGCUGCAAGGGAGCCUGGGGAAUGUAGUCUUUACUCAGACGACCAAGUCUCCAGCUAAAAGUGAGAGAAAGGAAGAAUCAUAUCACGAAAGACAGAGUUGCAGGAACCACUCUGUCACAACAGGCAUAUAGUAACCAAAAGAAAACUAGCAUAAAAUAAUAUCAGAUAAAACAGACUGACCUUAGGUGAAAGGCAUUACUGUCGAUAGUGAACAUCAGUACAUAUUUUUUAAAAGAUUUCACUAGGAACUUGUACGUACUUAGUGAUGAAUCUUCAAAAUAUGUAAAACAAGAAUUGACAGAUUCUAAGAAGAAAUGACAAAUAGGCCAUCACUGAGGGAGACAUUCAGUGGUUGAUAAAUCAAGCAGAGAAAAAAAAAGUCACAGAAAAUUGGACAUCACAAGAUUAUUCUGAUGGAUAUACAUAAAUAGUAUUUCUAACAAUGCGAGAAUAGAGAUUAUUUUCAAGCACACAGAAAACAAUGACGGAAGUUGACCAUAUUAUAAGCCAAAAUCAAGCGUUGACAAAUUUCAGAUAAUUGGUAUGUGUCAUUUACUGACGUUUACUGACAACAAUGAAAUUAAAUUUUAACUGAGUUAUAAAAAGAUGACUUCUAAAAGCCCACUUGUUUUGAACAUUUAAAGCAUAUGUUUUAAAGGACCCAUGGUUACUCAUGGUUCGUGGUGAAAAUGAGAAGAUGCUUAAUAUGAAAAAUGAAUAAGAAAAAUAUUAUCAACAAAAUUUGUGGAAUGAAGAACUAGUAUCUAGAAUAUAUAAAGAACUCUCAAAUCGCAACAACAAAAAUCAAAACUAAUCAAUUAGAACAUGGGCAAAUGACAUGAAGAGGUAUGUUACUGAAAAAGAUAUGCAGAUGGAAAAUAAGCACAUGAAAACGUGUUUAACAUCAUUAAUCUAGGGAAAUGCACAUUAAAACUACGAUGAGAUACCACUCCUAUGAGAACAGCUAAAAAAAAAAAAUAGUGACAACACCAAAUACCAGUAAGGAUGCAGAGAAACUCGAUCACUCAUACGUUGCUGGUAGGAAUGUAAAAUGUACAACCACUCUGAAAAACAGUUUGGCAAUUUCUUAAAAAACUAAACACGCAACUAUCACAUAACCCAACAAUUGCACUCCUGGGGACUUAUCCCGGAGAAAUGAAAACUUAUGUUCACAGCAGCUUCAUUGGUAAUAACCAAAAACUGGAAACAAACGAAGUAUCUUUUUUUUCCAAUUUUUAAAAAAGUUUAUUUUUGAGAGAGAGCAUGCGAGCAGGGAAGGGUCAGAGAGAAAGGGGCACUGUCAGUGCAGAGCCCAAUGCGGGGAGCAAACUCACGAACUGUGAGAUCACGAUCGGAGCUGAAAUGAAGUCAGGCGCUCAACCAACUGAGCCACCCAGGCGCCCCCAAAUAUCUUUCAUUGGGUGAAUGGUGGAAUAAAUUGUGGUACAUCCAUACAACGGAAUAGUAUUCAGCAAUAAAAAAGAACAUGUUUUGAUUAUUGGUACAUCCAAUAGUCUAGAUACAUCUUCAGAGAAUUAUGAUAAGUGAAAAAAGCCAAUUCUCAAAAGUUACAUACUGUGUGAUUCCAUUUAUAUAACAUUCUUCAGAGAACAGAGUUAAACACACGAACAAGAGAUUAGUUGUUGGCAGGAGUUGAGGAGGGGAUGGGCGCAGGAAGGAAACUAGAGUGGCCAUGGGAAGGGCGACACGAGCGGCCCCUGCAGUGAUGGAAAUGUUCUGUGCCUUGGCUGUGUCAAUGCUGAUAUCCUGGUUGUGAUCUCAUGCUGUAGUUUUGUAAGAUGUUACCACUGGGGAAACUGGACAAAGCAUACAGGUGCUCUCGCUGUAUUAUUUCUUACAGCUGCAUGUGACUCCAUAACCAUCUCAAAAUAAAAGUUUUAAUUUUUUUUUAAAUCUUGUGGGAUGCAACGAAAGUGGUACUUUCACAGAGACCAACACGUACUAAAAAGAAGAAAGGCUUAAAAUUAAUGAUAUAAUCAAUUAGAAAAAUGACAGCACAAUGAACUCAAAGUAGAAGAAAGGAAGUAUUAAAGGACGGAAGUUGAUGAAAUAAGAAUGACAAAAAUACUGCGGGGAGGGCUGACCAAGCUGAAAAGUGAUUCUCCACAAAGACUAACAAUGCGGACAAACCUCUGGCAAGGUUCAUCUCGAAAAGAGAGAGGUGCCAAUUGCCAAUGUCAAGGAGAAAAAGGAACAAGCUAUAGGUGCAGCAGACUCUAAGAAUAUUUCAGACAAUUCUUUACUGAUACAUUUGGAAAUAUAGAUAAAGUGGACACAUUUCUAGAAAAAUAUAAUUGACCAAAGUACUUUUUUUUUAAUGUUUAUUUAUUUUUGAGAGGGAGAGAGACAGAGUGUGAGCAGGGAAGGGGCAGAGAGAGAGGGAGACACAGAAUGUGAAGCAGGCUCCGGGCUCUGAGCUGUCAGCACAGAGCCCGAUGCGGGGCUCGAACUCACAAACCGUGAGAUCAUGACCUAGCCAAAGUCGGAUGCUUAACCAACUGAGCCACCCAGGCACCCCCAAAGUACUUUUGAUAAAGGAGGAAAUCUAGUUGAAUAACCAUUAAAAUAUUUUCACAUGGAAAACUCCAGAUCUACCAAACUUACAAGACAUAAGUCAUAUGUGAUUGUUAUGUUACACAAGCUUUUCUCAAAACAUUAAAAACAAAGGAAGGAAGGAAGGAAGGAAGGAAGGAAGGAAGGAAGGAAGGAAGGAAGAAAGAAGGAAAUGGGCACCUGGGUGGCUUAUUCAGUUGGGGGAGUCUUGAUUUCUGCUCAGGUCGUGAUCUCACGAUUGUGGGAUUGAGCCCCUCUUCAGACUCCAAGCUGCACUUAGAGCCUACUUGAGAUCCUCUCUCCUUCCCCCCAGCUUUCUGUCUCUCUCUCUCUCUCUCUCUCUCAAAAAAAAAAAAAAAAAAGAAAAGAAAGAAAGAAAGAAAGAAGAAGGAAAGACUUUAAGUAAUUUAUUGAGGCUGGUAUAAUCUUGAUAUCAAAUCUAGAUAAAGACAGAUCAUGUGCUCUAAAUACUAAAUAAAAUAAAAGUAAAACAAAUUUUUUUAACAAAUAAGAGAUCAAGCAGAGUUUACUCCAGAAAUUCACCAUUGGUUCAAUAUUAGGAAAAAUUCUCACUUUAAUUUACCACAUCAAGAAAUUAAAGGAGAAAAACUACAUGCGCAUCGUAAUAGGUAUGGAAUUCAGUAAAAUUCUAAAAUUUGCUCAUCAUAAGGAUCCUAUAAAAAUUAUUGCAUGCCAGCUACAGAUGACAUGUGUAAGGAUGCUCAUAGAAGCAAAGACUGGAAAGAGCCCAGAUGGCCAUAAACAAGAGAUUGGAUGAACACACUGUGGAAAUUUGCAGCAAGGAAUACAGCAGCGAAAGCGCAUAAAUUAUGGGCACGACAAAGCAAGGGUGAGUCUCACGGACGUAAUGUUGAAUAAAAAGGGAAAAUGGAGGCAAAUCUAAAAAUACAUGCUUUCAGGGAUAUAUAGAAAACUUUAGGUGAAACAGAGAGUGACUAACACAAAACACACAACAGUAUUACCUCAGGGCAGUCGGGGAAGAGGCACCUUUGAAGGUGGCUUCUUUUGAAAACCAGACUAAAAGGGAAGUACAAGGAAGAGCACAUAAUGUUCUUUAGGCUUUUCCCACUUAUUUUGGGUCUCACAUUUGUGGGCCAGCAUUUUUCUAUCUAUAACAGCUACUAUUUAAUCCAUCAUUUUAGUGGGCACUUACUAUGUGCCAGGCGGUAGGCAAAAUAUAUCAUAGGCAUUAGCUCGGCUUCCUUCUCCCUCAUGAGGCACCUUCUGCAAUUACUCUCCUUUUCCAGAUGUGGGAACUGGUCACAUGAUUAGGAUCAACUAGAACCAGGGUUGGGAUCCGAAGCUGUUGGUCCACAUGCUAUAUCGCCUAUGAGUUCAGAAAAUAGAACUGCCACUUUUUUUUAGAGAGAGAGAGAGAGAGGAAGAGAGAGAGAGAGAGCAGGAAAGGGGCAGGGAAAGAGGGAGAGAGAGAAUCCCAAGCAGGCUCGAAGCACAGCGUGGAGCUCAACGCAGGGAUCGAUCUCACAACCAUGAGAUCGUGACCUGAGCCGAAAUCAAGAACUGGAUACUUAACCACCCUGGCUGAGCCACCCUGGCUCCCCUAGAACUGCCACUUUUAAGGACUUGAUUUGAGUAAAGCAAAGGACACUUGAAAUACUAUCCAAUGCUCAGGAAUGGGGAUGUUAGCCCUUUUCUAGGGGACAGCAAAUUCAGUGCAGUAGAAAAACCACUUUAUACCAAGCUUUUACUGAGUGUAGUAUCACCUUUGAUUGGCCCAGAUGUGCAUCGGCAUUCGUGGAAGGUCAUGGAGAGCUGUAACUCUACGCACUGCUGUAUUUCUUUAAAAUUACCCCCAAAGAAGCUACGGGACUUACAGACCGAAGGCAUGUUUUGUUUACAAUCUCACACUAGCCUAAAUCAACCAUAACUAAAACUGUUCUCAGAGUUCCAAAGUAACCUCUUACUAACAUGAUCUGUAAUUCUGAUUAAUUUCUAUUGCUCUCAGCGGGUGUGAGUUCCCAUGUUUUCUUCCUGAACAGGAGCCGAACUGCUCAUUUGUUUGAGGUGCUCCUCUGAGAGAGGAAGAGGUUGGGCAUCUAGACUCAAGUUAGUUUCCUUUUGCUCUUGUUAUUAUAACAACAAAUGGGUAAAUAAAUGGAUUACCUUUGCAGGUACCUAGCCUAAUUCAUUUCAGCCCAUUUUCUCAAAUUCAGUGCAGAGUAGACUGAGCUGAGGGCUCGGUGGCUUUGGAUUUGUCCUCAUGAUAAGGAUGGCUGUCAUCUAUUCUGCACCUACCAUGUUCAGGGUCUGGAGACGCUCCAUAUUCAGCAUUUCAUUAAUAACGUAUUAAUAACGUAUUAAUUACGUUAUGUAAUUAACGUAUUAAUAACGUUCCUUCAUCUGUGCCGAAGAUGAAGAACUUGGGACUCUGCGAAGUGAGUCACGUUGAUCAAGGCCACAAAGUUAGAAAGGAGCGAGCUGGGAUUUGAACCCAAAUCAGGCAAAGCUUCUCCUCUCACUUACAAGCUGCCUAGAUGGGGAUGGUCUUUUUGAUUGGUUGAGACUAACAAGUCGACUAAAAGAACAUCACACCCUAGUCUUGAGUUUUGGAUCUCUCUUCUGUGUGCACUCUCUCCACGAUAUGGAAAACAAAGAGUUGAUCUCAUUCCAACACAAACACAUUUCUGACCCUGAAGGCAAGGUGGUGUUUCUGUCUUUCAUUAUCACUGGUAAAGAAAAAAAGAAUGGCUACUAACUUGGAGGAAGUCUGUAAUUCAAAGUUGAUAUAUGCUAAAUGUGAAAUGGUUACUUUAAGACAACUUAAUGCUUUCAUUUGAAAGAUGAUGGAGGCAUUAUCAUCAGCUCUAUAGCCGGACAAAUAAAUAGAUAGACUUAUACUAUCACCAUUCAAAUGAUUAAAAAGAAAUAAAAUGAUGCCAGAUGUUUAUUUGGAAUAACCCACAGAACACAUUGAAAACAAUUCCUAUUUCUGCAACUGGAAAUUGGAAUUGAUCAUUACUGGGCAUUAAAUGCGCGUAUGUUUUUCUGAAGUUCCUAAAUCUAUUUAAUUUCUAUGUUGACAGAGAUAUUAGACAGCUGUUUCAAAAUCUGUCUCUCUUUCCUGAGCUAUGCAUAAGAAAUCUUUAUGUUAAACCACGAAAUGUCAAUGAGAGCUCUUCAGUGUACUAAUCAGCCUGCGAGUGGAAUGUGUGUGGCUGGAAGCAACAACCUUAACUUACAUUCUCAAUAGUCUUGAUUGCCCCACAUGCACCCCCUGAAGACAUGGCUGUUGAAGGCACCAACUCCAAAGUGCAGCCUGCGUUGCCAGCUCUGACGAUUAGAGUCAGGGACAAUGAGUUAGCAGACGAGACGUGUUCUCCGCAAAUGGCUUGGUCAGUGACUCCCUGCGUACCCCAGGGGACCGGUCCUGAAGCCUCUGCCUCUCUUACCCUAUGGCCAUCUCAGUCCCAUCCACCCUCCUCCAGGGGGCCUACCAUGGGCACCAGAUACAAGAAAGAGGAGAGCCAGCUUCGUUCCUCAGAGUUCUUUAAGGGCAGGCUGGUGGGUGAACUCGAUAAUUGACAUCAUUCCAACAUCACUUAGCUUGUUUGAAAACAUUUCACAGCCCAAACAAAAUCUCAUACACAAUCGUGCUCUUUGUAGUGUCAUUUGUGAAAAAAAAAAAGUUUUAAGUUGAGAUGUCUUUCAAUAAGGAAACGGUUACAUGAAUUAUGCUAAAAUAGUUACGAGAAUUACGCUAAAUUCACACAGUGGAUUAUAGCAGACCCACUGAAAACAGUUUACCACAAUCAGAAGGUCAAAAAAAAAAAAAGAAAACCCCCCCUCUAUUCAUGAGCUUGGUGAAUCUUCCAAAACAAAGUUUAGUCUUUUGUCUCUUAAGAUUAGAAAUCUGACUUUGUCAGCACACCCAGAGGUGAUCUGUUUCUCGGGAAUGGACACGCUAACCAUACUUUUGACAUGGAGGCAUUAAAGCAGAGUGCCAAUAUAUCAUUUCAAAUUCAGAAAUCUGUUACAUGCCCUGAAAUACUUGGAUGGGCAAAAUAGAUGGGCACAAUCAGCAUAUUCUACUCCUAGCAAUAAGCUACAUGGGAAAUAAUCUCCUGUUCGCCACAGUCAUUUACCUGCCACCGUUUACUGAGUGUUUAUAGUGUGCCAGGUACUCUACCAAGACUUAUCAGUAUCUCAUUUAAUGAGAUCAUGUUUGCAAAGCACUUAGCACGUGCCUCCCCCCACGCUAAGUGCUCCAUAUUUGUUAGCUGCUGUUGUUUCUAUUGCCACUUUUCCUUCUCGACUUAUCACGAUAUCCAGUUGACAUUCUCCCCUUUCUGCAAAUUAGAAAAUGAAGACAAAGGAAUUCAGUCGCUGCCCAAGCUAGCUGGUAAGUGGCAGAAUCACAACGAGAAAUACAAUUGUCAGAGGAGCUGGAACACCCAGUCACCAAGGUCUUUGGCAGAGCCCUGGGGAAGCAGUCAGAAGGUUGUGCUGUGAGUAUAGAAUCACAACAAAGGGAGUUAGAAGAAUUAAACCUUUAGUAGCAUCAGGCCAAAACAACUUGCUAUGUUCACCUCCUGGUAGGAUGAUCCGGCAUUUGAGACCCACUGGCUGAGACUUGCUUUCCCCUGAAUAAGAGAGAGAAGCUAAUAUUUACUGAGAAUUAGUGUGACAGCCUUCAUUUAAUUUUCAUCAAAACAUCAUGAAGCAGUUAGGGAACAGUCCCCAAGAUGCCACCGCUGAUAUGCUGUAGAGCCUGGACUCCAACUCUGGACCAUCCCACUCCAAAGCCCAGUCUUUAACCCUGAACUCUGUCACCUACCAACACAGAGACGUAGGUGUGGCUAGUCCCGUUUUGCAGAGGAGGAAACUGACGAACAACUUAAAUCACAUGCCCCCAAGGCAUUCGGUCUGUGACUAAAUGACAGAGAAGAAAUACGAAGUUUGAGUAUUGCAUUGUACAAAUUACAUUGUAUUAGCUUGCUCAGGUCACCAUAACAAAAUGCCACACAGCCUGGAUGGCUUAAACAACAGGAAUGUAUUUUCUUACAGUUCUGGAGGCUAGAAGUCCAAGAUCAAGAUGUCAGCAGGUGUGGCUCCUCCUGAGACCUCUUUCUUUGGCUUGCAGGUGGCCACCUCUUUGCUGUGUCUUCACAUGGUCAUUCCUCUACUGUGUCUCUCUCCAUGUGGUCCAAAUUUCCUCUUUUUUAUAAGGACACAUUCAUACUAGAUUAGGGCCAACCUUAAGCACCUCAUUUUAACUUAAUCACACCUUUAAAGACCUUUUCUCUGAAUAUGAUCACAUACAAUGGGCACGAGGGGUUAGGACUUCAACAUACGAAUUUUGGGAGGACAGAAUUCAAUCCAUAGCAUGCAUCUUCUUAACCCGGAAACAAUACUGCUGCCCAUAAAGGGAUUGUUUCAUAUUUUUGAUAGUUUUUAAAAAUGCCAUUUUCAGGCCACAUAGUCAUGCUGGAAAACUAUUUUCUUAUUUCUGAUGAUGAACCGGAGGAUAGCCUGCUUGCUGUUAGCUCCUUUGUUCGUUCAUUCAUUUAGAAAUAGAAUGCCAAUUGGCAAAAGGGAAAACGAUUAACUAGAACUCAUGGAAUUUCAAAAUGACUCACCAAAUCCUCUUGCUUGGGGCACUCUAUAACAUGUAUUUCGCUAUCCAACCAGAGCUUAAAUCAAAUAGCGAAAUUAUUGAAAUCAAGGCAGUAUGAAGAAUAUCCAGAAGUAUAAACCCCUUCAAGGAAGUUAAAAUUUAGUUGAGGAGACAAAAGCAUAAAUAUAUGAGACAUUAAUAACAACUCAUGACAGUAAUGCCACAAGGCAAAAUAGGAUGAAUUGUAGAAUAUAGAAGCCAGAAAGUAGAUGCUGUGAAUACAGAGAAAGGCCAGUGACUGAGAAGGGUAAUCCAGGAAGGUUUCCUGGAAGAAGAGGAAGUUAUCAUGUUGAGUAAGUCAGAAGCGAAUUCCCUCGGAAGCAUCCCUUGGGGAUAUUAGCACCCAUCUCUCUGCAUCUCACAGGUGCUGUGAGAUUCAACACAUGUUCAACGAAGCCAUGUAUCUGGGCACGGCUGACAGGAGAUGGGAACCCGAAGAGGGAGGAAAUGACUGGAUAAAUGUUGGGCAGAGCCUGCAGGGGAUGGGGAAAAGAAAGGAAAUUCCCAGAACACCCGUAGUGGCCAGAAUGAAUCUGCACGAAUUUGGAAAUUCAGAGCAAGAAACACCUUUCCCCUGGUUUGGCUCAGAGGCACUACGGUGGCAUUUAGGGCAAGUCAGCCGGAAAGGGAAGCAAGACACAGCUGCAGUUCAGAUUGUGAUGAUGAAGAGAUGCGCAGGAAUCCAAGGUCAGAGAAAAGGCCCGAACUGGCUGCUUGCCUCUUUCACCUUCCAGGAGAGCUAGAAGAGAAGAGGACUGAAAAGAUUCCUGGAAGCUUCUGUGCAAGGUAGAGGAAAAUAAGAGAGACAGCAUAUGGUAUGAAUGCUCCUUACCGGGGAGGAACAGGUGCCCAGCCAGCCAGCCCUCCGGCUGUUGGCUGAAAUGGAACCCAGGACCACGUUCGCAAGUCAUUUAGUCCUUGAGCUUCAUCAGCAGAUACAUUGGCUUUGUUCUGGAGGCCAGCAAAAAGAAAAAAAAAAUGUGUCAGGAAAGUUGGAGGAACUUUCUUGCUAUUUCGCUUAGCAGACCAAGGUCAAGUACACGAUUCAUUCUCUUCAAGAAGGAAGUAGUGUGAAAGGGAGGGCGGCAGAUGGUGACGAAUUGCAGGGAGCUACCUGGGGUGUAGCACUUAAUGUGCUCUGGAGUCCAGCUACCUGGGUUCAAACCCCUGUCCUCCACUGACCAGCUGGAUGAGGUUGAGCAAGUUAAUGGAAUCUUUCCGUGCCUCAGUUUCCUCAUCUGUAAAAUGGGAUUAAUAACGAAGCCUAUCUCAUGGGGUUAUUUCAAGGAUUAAUUAAGAGAACAUAUGUCUGAUAUUUAGGUAACACUGAAGAACCGUUAGCAUGAAUAUUAGUACAUGUGAGAGUGGCGGGACAUUCUGGGAGUGUGAAUGGGGCGUGGUUGGGGGGGUGAAUUAGAGCAGAUGCAAAGAGAGCACAGGGAGAAUUUAAAGAGAGAAAAGAUGAUGGCUCCUAAGGUCAUGAACAGACAAAUCAGAUUGCUAACCAAAAACAAACAAACAAAAACACUCCAAACAAAACAAAAACAAAACAAAGUAUCUCGAUGCAACACCUAACAGGAAAAAUGUUUCAGGCAUGGGAGAAGUGGAUUUAGGAGAAGCCGUAUUUGACUUUUGGCCUCUGGGAGACUGUCACCAGGAUGAGGAGGUGGCCCGAGCCUGGCAACAUCCAGAGCCUUGAGGAGAGGCAGGACCAAGUGUUUCCUGGUCCAGGGAAGGUGGCUGAGGAGUGAGUGAAGUCAAAGGUGAAGGCAAAAUUUUGAGGAAGGCAUGGGAGAGAAAAGGGAAAAUGGUUGCAGAGGUGCUAAGCAAAGAGCGAAUGGU